rnacentral:rRNA from 1 species
UACGGGGGGAGCAAGCGUUGUUCGGAUUUACUGGGCGUAAAGGGCGCGUAGGCGGUCAGCACAAGUCAGUUGUGAAAUCUCCGGGCUUAACUCGGAAAGGUCAACUGAUACUGUGCGACUAGAGUGCAGAAGGGGCAACUGGAAUUCUCGGUGUAGCGGUGAAAUGCGUAGAUAUCGGGAGGAACGCCAGUGGCGAAGGCGGGUCUCUGGACAGUUCCUGACGCUGAGGCACGAAGGCCAGGGGAGCAAACGGG